rnacentral:rRNA from 1 species
AUUGAACGCUGGCGGCAGGCCCAACACAUGCAAGUCGAGCGAGCGGCGGACGGGCGAGUAAUGUCUGCGAAAAUGCCUGAUGGAGGAGGAUAACUACUGGAAACGGUAGCUAAUACAGCAUACAAUCAGAUGUGCCCAGAUGGGAUUAGCUAGUAGGUGGGGUAACGGCUCACCUAGGCGACGAUCCCUAGCUGGUCUGAGAGUAUUACCAGCAACGCUGGAACUGAGACACGGUCCAGACUCCUACGGGAGGCAGCAGUCAGGAGUAUUGCACAAUGGGCUCACGCCUGAUGCAGCCAGGCCGCGUGUGCGAAGAAGGCCUUGGGGUUGAAAAGCACUUUCAGCGGGAGGGCUUUACCCGCAGAGGAAACACCGGCUGACUCCGUGCCAGCAGCCGCGGUAAUAC